GACGAACGCUGGCGGCGUGCUUAACACAUGCAAGUCGAACGGAAAGGCCCUGCUUUUGUGGGGUGCUCGAGUGGCGAACGGGUGAGUAACACGUGAGUAACCUGCCCUUGACUUUGGGAUAACUUCAGGAAACUGGGGCUAAUACCGGAUAGGAGCUCCUGCUGCAUGGUGGGGGUUGGAAAGUUUCGGCGGUUGGGGAUGGACUCGCGGCUUAUCAGCUUGUUGGUGGGGUAGUGGCUUACCAAGGCUUUGACGGGUAGCCGGCCUGAGAGGGUGACCGGCCACAUUGGGACUGAGAUACGGCCCAGACUCCUACGGGAGGCAGCGGUGGGGAAUCUUGCACAAUGGGCGGAGGCCUGAUGCAGCAACGCCGCGUGCGGGAUGACGGCCUUCGGGUUGUAAACCGCUUUCGCCUGUGACGAAGCGUGAGUGACGGUAAUGGGUAAAGAAGCACCGGCUAACUACGU
rnacentral:rRNA from 1 species